rnacentral:tRNA from 1 species
GUUUUUAUAGUUGAUGAACAACGGUGGUUUUUCAGGCCGCAGGACUCGGAAGUGAGUGAAAAUA